rnacentral:rRNA from 1 species
AUGGCCGCCGAGGAAGGCGAGAAGAAGAUGAUCACGCUCAAGAGCUCGGACGGUGAGGAAUUUCAGGUCGAGGAGGCGGUCGCCAUGGAGUCGCAGACCAUCCGCCACAUGAUCGAGGACGACUGCGCCGACAACGGCAUCCCGCUCCCCAACGUCGACUCCAAGAUCCUCUCCAAGGUCAUCGAGUACUGCAAGAAGCACGUCCAAGCCGACUCCAAACCGGCCGACGCCAGCUCCUCCACCUCUACUGCAGCCCCCAGCCCCGUCGAGGACCUCAAGAGCUUUGACGCCGAGUUCGUCAAGGUCGACCAGGCCACCCUCUACGACCCCAUCCUCGCUGCAAACUACCUCAACAUCAAGGUAUUGCUCGACCUUACUUGCCAGACUGUUGCCGACAUGAUCAAGGGAAAGACUCCCGAGGAGAUCCGCAAGACUUUCAACAUCAAGAAUGACUUCACACCUGAGGAGGAGGCUGAGAUCCGCAGGGAGAACCAGUGGGCUUUUGAGUAG